rnacentral:rRNA from 1 species
GAUGAACGCUGGCGGCGUGCCUAAUACAUGCAAGUCGAACGAGGUGCUUUUGUAGCAAUACGAGAGUAUCCUAGUGGCGAACGGGUGAGUAACGCGUGGAUGACCUGCCCCAAAGUGUGGGAUAACAGUCCGAAAGGAUUGCUAAUACCUCAUGUGGUUAUCGGUUUUAGAAAGCGAUAACUAAAGCAGCAAUGCGCUUUGGGAGGGAUCUGCGUCCCAUCAGCUAGUUGGUGAGGUAACGGCUCACCAAGGCGACGACGGGUAGGGGACCUGAGAGGGUGGCCCCCCACAAUGGAACUGAAACACGGUCCAUACACCUACGGGUGGCAGCAGUAGGGGAUAUUGCUCAAUGGGCGAAAGCCUGAAGCAGCAACGCCGCGUGUGCGAUGAAGGCCUUCGGGUCGUAAAGCACUUUUCUACGAGAUGAGAAAGGACAGUAUCGUAGGAAUAAGUCUCGGCUAACUACGUGCCAGCCGCCGCCGUAACAC